UACGUAGGGUGCGAGCGUUGUCCGGAAUUAUUGGGCGUAAAGAGCUUGUAGGCGGUUUGUCGCGUCUGCUGUGAAAAUCCGAGGCUCAACCUCGGACUUGCAGUGGGUACGGGCAGACUAGAGUGUGGUAGGGGAGACUGGAAUUCCUGGUGUAGCGGUGAAAUGCGCAGAUAUCAGGAGGAACACCGAUGGCGAAGGCAGGUCGCUGGGACGUUACUGACACUGAGGCGCGGAAAGCGUGGGGAGCGAACAGG
rnacentral:rRNA from 1 species